rnacentral:lncRNA from 1 species
AGAUGCCUCGAAGAGCAGUAUCAUCUAGAGGUAGAGGACAUAGCCAGCAGCUCUCUAUGAAUGAAACAGAUGAGCCAGUACAGAUGCAAGAGGAAACACUGGAGCACACUUCAACAGAUGAUUCAACAAAUUCAUAGAGUAGUUUUUAGUUUUAUGAACAUUGUUAAGUAUUAUUGAUUUAUUUUAAAUUUUAUGACGAUUGUUAAGUAUUAUGAAUUUAUUUUAAAUUUUAUGAACA